CGGGUUCGAUUCCCGGCCAUCGCACUCUUUU
rnacentral:sRNA from 1 species